GGAUCAAAGAAUCGGUCAUGCCUUGGUAUGUACUGGUUUUAUUGGUUCUCACCUUCUAAAGAACCAUAAUGUCAUUUAUUUGAUGUUAUGGGGAAUUAGGACUGUUACCUUGAAAAAAUUAGAGUGUUUAAAGCAAGCUUACGCUUGAAUACAUUAGCAUGGAAUAAUGAAAUAGGACAU
rnacentral:rRNA from 1 species